rnacentral:rRNA from 1 species
UACAGAGGGGGCAAGCGUUGUUCGGAAUUACUGGGCGUAAAGGGCGCGUAGGCGGCCUGCUAAGUCGAACGUGAAAUCCCCGGGCUUAACCUGGGAACUGCAUUUGUGACUGGCAAGCUAGAGUAUGGCAGAGGGGGGUAGAAUUCCACGUGUAGCAGUGAAAUGCGUAGAGAUGUGGAGGAAUACCGAUGGCGAAGGCAGCCCCCUGGGAUAACACUGACGCUCAUGCACGAAAGCGUGGGGAGCAAACAGG